rnacentral:rRNA from 1 species
CCUAAGCCGAGGCCGAAAGGCGUAGGCGAUGGACAACAGGUUGAUAUUCCUGUACCACCUCCUCACCAUUUGAGCAAUGGGGGGACGCAGGAGGAUAGGGCAAGCGCGGUAUUGGAUAUCCGCGUCCAAGCAGUUAGGCUGGGAAAUAGGCAAAUCCGUUUCCCGUAAGGCUGAGCUGUGAUGGCGAGCGAAAUAUAGUAGCGAAGUUCCUGAUUCCACACUGCCAAGAAAAGCCUCUAGCGAGGUGAGAGGUGCCCGUACCGCAAACCGACACAGGUAGGCGAGGAGAGAAUCCUAAGGUGAUCGAGAGAACUCUCGUUAAGGAACUCGGCAAAAUGACCCCGUAACUUCGGGAGAAGGGGUGCUCUGUUAGGGUGCAAGCCCGAGAGAGCCGCAGUGAAUAGGCCCAGGCGAC